rnacentral:rRNA from 1 species
GUAGGGAAUCUUCCGCAAUGGACGAAAGUCUGACGGAGCAACGCCGCGUGAGUGAUGAAGGCUUUCGGGUCGUAAAACUCUGUUGUUAGGGAAGAACAAGUACAAGAGUAACUGCUUGUACCUUGACGGUACCUAACCAGAAAGCCACGGCUAACUACGUGCCAGCAGCCGCGGUAAUACGUAGGUGGCAAGCGUUAUCCGGAAUUAUUGGGCGUAAAGCGCGCGCAGGCGGUUUCUUAAGUCUGAUGUGAAAGCCCACGGCUCAACCGUGGAGGGUCAUUGGAAACUGGGGAACUUGAGUGCAGAAGAGAAAAGCGGAAUUCCACGUGUAGCGGUGAAAUGCGUAGAGAUGUGGAGGAACACCAGUGGCGAAGGCGGCUUUUUGGUCUGUAACUGACGCUGAGGCGCGAAAGCGUGGGGAGCAAACAGG